rnacentral:piRNA from 1 species
AAAUGUCAAGCCUGUGGAUUGUUUUGA